rnacentral:misc_RNA from 1 species
GGCCUCUACCGUCUCUCUGUCUUGGGUCCCACACAUCCGAUGGACUCUGCAGUCGCUCAUAGACAUCCAUCUCUUCCCUUUGAAUGGGCGCAUCCUACCAAAUCGGUGCACUAUGCCGUCCGAUACAGAGAGCAGCGAUUUCAGCGACGGCGACCGGCCGCUGUCGGCAGCCGCCUCUGUCUGGAACAUGACUGAGUCCAGCGGCGCGGCCGCCAGCGAUCGCUACGCCACAGCACCGCUUCUGCUUCAGAUCCGCUACAGUCGAGCUGCCCAGCAGACGGAGCUACUUGUAGCAGACGCGCCACCGUCGCCCAGCCGACCGUACAUCCACCCCCAGUUAUUGGCGCAGAGACCCCCACUUGAAACGCAAGACUCCAACAACGCUGAUGUUCAGAGCGGUACGCCCACAACGGUCGGCGCCGCGCCGCAACAUGAACAAAAGUCGGAGAUGAGAAUCGCGGGGCCACCGGCCCCUUCUGCGAUGGCGAGAGAGGUGUCGGCCUGGAGUGAGGCCUGCGCGGCCGACUCCUUCGCUUUCCUGAGAAACGCCAGAGAGCCGUCACUCUCCUACACCUGGACGGACAGCUACCUGGACGAAUCCCCGUCGACAACAAAGGCACGGUGGAUGCAGCAGCGAACCUUCGGCCCUGUUGUACAAUCUGAGGGUGGCGGCAGCAGCACUGUCUCUUCCACACCUCGAGCUCCCUGCGAAACAGAGGCGGUGUGGGGUGGCGUCCAGGCGCGCAGCGCAGCCGCACGCGCCGGCGCUGCCGAAGCCGUAGAUCGGCCGCAAGACGGGCCGGGCGAUGAACGCAGUCGGACCACCCGAGGCGGCGGCGGUGCGCGGCGUCGACGCUUUGAUCUGACGGCGGCGGAGACGGGUGAGAACGGUCUCGGCCGCGAGAGACCUCACGAUGGCGUGUUUGACCACGUCUCCACCAACCACGUUGGAAGGCGCGCGAAAUCAACGACAGCCAAGCCACUCUUUCAUGUGAAUAGAAGCCACACCUCCAUAUGUACAAGCAACGCCUCGACAAGGAUUGCCACAGUCCAGCAACCGCAUCGGAUGGGACAGAUAGCACCGAUAGCGAAGCUUCUGAACGCAGCGGCUGCGGUCAACACCGCGGAAGUCGUGAGGCUCGGUUCUGAUGACGUCAAGGCAGGGGUGUCACCGUCACCGACCACCGACGCCAAUUUGCGAGAGGUAGGCCUCUCUUCUGCGUUCCUCGACAUUGUUGCCGCUUCGAGACCACUCUCUCCAGCACGAGCUGCCAACGUUGCAGACAGUCACAACGCGCCCAGGAGUCGCUCGUCGUCCGACAACCGGAACCAGUGUGAAAGCGACGGAAUGGGUAGCAGCCCCACCGAGAUGGAGCAAAGUCGUGGCAAUCUCAGAGCUUCUCGAUGCUGCCCGCCACGCGGCCGCGUCCUCAAAGUCAUCUACGAGGAUUGAGGGGGGAUCGGAAGCUCACGUGCCCAUGCCACGCGCCCCGAAGGAUGGGACCGCAAGGGCACGUGGAUUGUCUAUUCGAGAGUGAGCAGUCGGCCUACUCAGCCAAGGUCCCACACGGAUGUAAGCCGCUCCGGUUACUCGAGCCGCUCACCUUGAACCAAAACGAUAACAGGCGGGACGGCGGCGGGGCCUAUGUGGUACGACUGCCGUUUUCGGACGCUUUUUUCCUCCCUUUUUCGAUAGACAUCUCCUCCUUUUUUCCUUUCAUGUGUGAGCGCAUGUGUGGGGGAGCGCCGACCAUAUCGUGCGGCGUGUCAUACAAAGUCUCCUGCGUGGAGAUCCUCGCACUGUGGCUUGCCUCCAUCUCUGCGUCCUCCUCUUUUCGUUUUUUUUUUCGACCCAUCACCUCUCUCGUUCCGUAUUCUGUGUCUGUCACGUCUGGAUGUCUUUCUGCUUGUGCGUGCUUGCGUCUGUCUUUCUAUUUUGUCUUCUGCGUGCAUUUUGCCGUUCCCAUCCCCACCACCACCACCUCGUAUUCUUCACCUCAUCUGUUCCCCCAUCUGCUGCCCCGCGUCUCUCCUCACGCGUCGCGUUUGACGGGAGGGGGAGAGUAGAAGCGGUUCGACUCUCAUGGCACAG